rnacentral:rRNA from 1 species
AGGGAAUCUUCGGCAAUGGACGAAAGUCUGACCGAGCAACGCCGCGUGAGUGAAGAAGGUUUUCGGAUCGUAAAACUCUGUUGUUAGAGAAGAACAAGGAUGAGAGUAGAACGUUCAUCCCUUGACGGUAUCUAACCAGAAAGCCACGGCUAACUACGUGCCAGCAGCCGCGGUAAUACGUAGGUGGCAAGCGUUGUCCGGAUUUAUUGGGCGUAAAGCGAGCGCAGGCGGUUUCUUAAGUCUGAUGUGAAAGCCCCCGGCUCAACCGGGGAGGGUCAUUGGAAACUGGGAGACUUGAGUGCAGAAGAGGAGAGUGGAAUUCCAUGUGUAGCGGUGAAAUGCGUAGAUAUAUGGAGGAACACCAGUGGCGAAGGCGGCUCUCUGGUCUGUAACUGACGCUGAGGCUCGAAAGCGUGGGGAGCGAACAGGAUUAGAUACCCUGGUAGUCCACGCCGUAAACGAUGAGUGCUAAGUGUUGGAGGGUUUCCGCCCUUCAGUGCUGCAGCAAACGCAUUAAGCACUCCGCCUGGGGAGUACGACCGCAAGGUUGAAACUCAAAGGAAUUGACGGGGGCCCGCACAAGCGGUGGAGCAUGUGGUUUAAUUCGAAGCAACGCGAAGAACCUUACCAGGUCUUGACAUCCUUUGACCACUCUAGAGAUAGAGCUUCCCCUUCGGGGGCAAAGUGACAGGUGGUGCAUGGUUGUCGUCAGCUCGUGUCGUGAGAUGUUGGGUUAAGUCCCGCAACGAGCGCAACCCUUAUUGUUAGUUGCCAUCAUUUAGUUGGGCACUCUAGCGAGACUGCCGGUGACAAACCGGAGGAAGGUGGGGAUGACGUCAAAUCAUCAUGCCCCUUAUGACCU